CAUUUCCAUUUUUACAUGGAGCAUUACACCAUAGAAAAAUUCAAACAUGCAUCGAGCAUGAGCCAAUUAGGGUCUUCUUGUUGAAAUAUUAAUUUGACGUAUCCCCACAAGAGUAAUCCUCACAAAGUACCCUAAUACAUGGUUCAUUACUAGCUUGGGCCUCUUUCCCAAAAGCCUAGUGUUUACUGGCGUUCCUUGGUC
rnacentral:lncRNA from 1 species